rnacentral:rRNA from 1 species
GACGAACGCUGGCGGCGUGCUUAACACAUGCAAGUCGAACGGAAAGGCCCUGCUUUCGUGGGGUGCUCGAGUGGCGAACGGGUGAGUAACACGUGAGUCACCUGCCCUUGACUUUGGGAUAACUUCAGGAAACUGGGGCUAAUACCGGAUAGGAGCUCCUGCUGCAUGGUGGGGGUUGGACAGUUUCGGCGGUUGGGGAUGGACUCGCGGCUUAUCAGCUUGUUGGUGGGGUAGUGGCUUACCAAGGCUUUGACGGGUAGCCGGCCUGAGAGGGUGACCGGCCACAUUGGGACUGAGAGACGGCCCAGACUCCUACGGGAGGCAGCAGUGGGGAAUAUUGCACAAUGGGCGGAAGCCUGAUGCAGCAACGCCGCGUGCGGGAUGACGGCCUUCGGGUUGUAAACCGCUUUCGCCUGUGACGAAGCGUGAGUGACGGUAAUGGGUAAAGAAGCACCGGCUAACUACGUG